UUUAAGAAAGCUUUUCUAUUUUUGGGGGUGGUGUGGGGUGUACUAGUCUGUUCUCAUGCUGCUAAUAAGACAUACCUGAGACUGGGUAAUUUAUAAAGAAAAAGAGGUUUAAUGGACUCACAGUUCUGCAUAGCUGGAGAGGCCUUGCAAUCAUGGUAGAAGGCAAAGGAGGAGCAAGGCACCUCCUACAUGGUGGCAAGCAAGAGAGAAGUGCAGGGGAACUCCCUUUAGAAAGCCAUCAGGUCUUAGAGGUGUUCAGCUGCUUCACGUUGAAACUGAACAUCUCCUUCCCAGUCACUGGCUGCCAGAAACUCAUUAAGGUAGAUGAUGAACGCAAAUUUCGUACUUUUUAUGAGAAGCUUAUGGCCACAGAAGUUGCUGCUGAUGCUCUGGGUGAAGAAUGGAAAGGUUAUGUGGUCCGAAUCAGUGGUGGGAACAACAAACAAGGUUUCCCCAUGAUGCAGCGUGUCUUGACCCAUGGCUGUGUCCGCCUGUUACUGAGUAAGGGGCAUUCCUGUUACAGACCAAGGAGAACUGCAGAAAGAAAGAGAAAAUCAGUUCGUGGUUGCAUAGUGGAUGCCAAUCUGAGCGUUCUCAACUUGGUUAUUGUUAAAAAAAAAAAAAAAAAAAAAGGAAAAAAGGAAAGAAGGAUAUUCCUGGACUGACUGGAUACUACGGUGCCUUGUCACCUGGGGCCCAAAAGAGCUAGCAGAAUCCGCAAACUUUCCAGUCUCUCUGAAAAAGAUGAUGUCCACCAGUAUGUUGUAAUGAAGGUAAGAAACCUAGGACCAAAGCACCCAAGAUUCAUCGUCUUGUUACUCCACAUUUCCUGUGGCACAAAGGGCAGCAUAUUGCUCUGAAGAUGCCGCGUACUAAGAAAAAUAAGGAAGAGGCUGCAGAAUAUGCUAAACUUUUGGGCAAGAGAAUGAAAGAGGCUAAAGAGAAGUUCCAGGAACAAAUUGUGAAGAGACACAGACUUUCCUCUCUGCGAGCUUCUACUUCUAAGUCUGAAUCCAGUCAGAAAUAAGAUUUUUUGAGUAACAAAUAAAUAAGAUCAGACUC